CCUACGGGAGGCAGUAGUGGGGGAUAUUGCACAAUGGGGGAAACCCUGAUGCAGCGACGCCGCGUGAGUGAAGAAGUAUUUCGGUAUGUAAAGCUCUAUCAGUAGGGAAGAAAAUGACAGUACCUGACCAAGAAGCCCCGGCCAACUCCGUGCCAGCAGCCGCGGUAAUACGGAGGGGGCAAGCGUUAUCCGGAUUUACUGGGUGUAAAGGGAGCGUAGUCGGUUAUGUAAGUCUGGAGUGAAAACCCGGGGCCCAACCCCGGGACUGCUUUGGAAACUGUGUAACUGGAGUACAGGAGAGGCAGGCGGAAUUCGUGGUGUAGCGGUGAAAUGCGUAGAUAUCAGGAAGAACACCGACGGCGAAGGCAGCCUGCUGGACUGAAACUGACGUUGAGGCUCGAAAGCGUGGGGAGCGAACAGGAUUAGAUACCCCUGUAGUC
rnacentral:rRNA from 1 species